rnacentral:tRNA from 1 species
GUGGCUGAGCGGUAAAGCGCUUGUCUUCCGAACCGGGAGUUCCUGGUUCGAAUCCUGGC